GACGAACGCUGGCGGCGUGCCUAACACAUGCAAGUCGAGCGGGGUCCAUCCGGUGGCAACACCGGUGAAGACCUAGCGGCGAACGGGUGAGUAACACGUGAGAAACCUGCCCUGAAGUUCGGGAUAACCCGGGGAAACCCGAGCUAAUACCGAAUACCCUCCUUUGAUCGCAUGGUCGAGGGAGGAAAGAUUCAUCGCUUCAGGAGGGUCUCGCGGCCUAUCAGCUAGUUGGUGGGGUAAUGGCCUACCAAGGCGUCGACGGGUAGCUGGUCUGAGAGGACGACCAGCCACACUGGGACUGAGACACGGCCCAGACUCCUACGGGAGGCAGCAGUGGGGAAUCUUGCGCAAUGGGCGAAAGCCUGACGCAGCAACGCCGCGUGCGGGAUGAAGGCCUUCGGGUUGUAAACCGCUUUCAGCAGGGACGAAAUUGACGGUACCUGCAGAAGAAGCCCCGGCCAACUACGUGCCAGCCGCCGCAGUAACAC
rnacentral:rRNA from 1 species